GCAAAGGACGGCAUCCGUGUAAAUAGUGUGGCGCCUUGGUACAUAAAUACAGACCUUGCGCAGCAGGUUUUGGCCAACCCCGACUUCAAAGCAGAAGUGGUGGGUCGAACUCCAUUGCGGCGAGUGGGCGAGCCGUAUGAGGUAGCUGGCUUGGUGGCCUUCCUGUGCAUGCCCACUGCCGGCUUCAUCACCGGGCAGACUAUCAGUAUUGAUGGAGGCUUCACUAUAAAUGGAUUCUAUCCUACAGACUAGUUAUUUUUCUCGUCUCACAACCUUUGCUUUGAUGAUCUCUUAUCGUGAAGUUGGUAGAUUGUACAAUUGUUUAGGAAUUGUGAACUGUAGGGAC
rnacentral:lncRNA from 1 species